AGUGGCGAACGGGUGAGGAACACGCGAGAAACCUGCCUUUCAUUCUGGGAUAACUCCGGGAAACCGGGGCUAAUACCGAAUAUUGAAACAUAAGUGGCAUCACUGAGUUUUGAAAGAAUUUCGGUGGAGGAUGACUUCGCGGCCUAUCAGCUAGUUGGUGAGGUAAUGGCUCACCAAGGCAACGACGGGUAGCCGGCCUGAGAGGGCGACCGGCCACACUGGGACUGAGACACGGCCCAGACUCC
rnacentral:rRNA from 1 species